rnacentral:lncRNA from 1 species
AUGUUAGAGUUAGAGCUCUCUAGUAGUAAGUUACUACUAAAUAGUUGUAAAUAUCCAAGCAGCAAUAAAAGGAACUCAAACUAUUUUCAAAUGUGUAAUACUUUUCCCACUUCAGAAGGCAAACAAUUAACUAUUUUAUCAAAACCUUGAGAGCUGACAAAAGUGGAGAUCACCAUGAAUCAAGUGCAUUUCCAACCUGGCCUUGUAAGGAAACUGAUUUGUGGUCAUAAUUUCCUAGGUUUUAUCUAGAAUUUAAUAAGAGUAGAUAAAAAUCACAAUAAA